AACGAACGCUGGCGGCAUGCCUAACACAUGCAAGUCGAACGAGACCUUCGGGUCUAGUGGCGCACGGGUGCGUAACGCGUGGGAAUCUGCCCUCUGGUUCGGAACAACAGUUGGAAACGACUGCUAAUACCGGAUAAUGACUUCGGUCCAAAGAUUUAUCGCCUGAGGAUGAGCCCGCGUCGGAUUAGCUUGUUGGUGAGGUAAAAGCUCACCAAGGCGACGGUCCGUAGCUGGUCUGAGAGGAUGAUCAGCCACACUGGGACUGAGACACGGCCCAGACUCCUACGGGAGGCAGCAGUGGGGAAUAUUGGACAAUGGGCGAAAGCCUGAUCCAGCAAUGCCGCGUGAGUGAUGAAGGCCUUAGGGUUGUAAAGCUCUUUUACCCGGGAUGAUAAUGACAGUACCGGGAGAAUAAGCCCCGGCUAACUCCGUGCCAGCCGCCGCCGUAA
rnacentral:rRNA from 1 species